UAAGAUUCUAUUUCUCACCUUAAAUGUUUUUUAGAAAUAUAUUGUAGUGGGUGAAACAGAUGUGAGGACAUCGAGGAACUCACGUGCUACCAAAACAAAGAACAGAGAACCUUGGAUAACAACACACUGAAAGGUUGACCAAUCUGAGCUGAGCAGCCUGCCUGAGGACACGUGCAGGGAGUGAGCGGUGAGCUGGGUGCUGGAGAAGCUGAGUGGUUUUGCAGAGGAGACGCUCAGGGUUUCACCUCAAGCUCUUCAUGAAGGUGUUGGAGGGUCUGGAGCUGUGGGAGCUCUGUCUGCCUGAGCUGUGUGUGGCCAUCCAGAUUACCACGGAUCAUCCAGAUGCUCAGGGAGAUGUAUGAUGCCUGGCUGUGUUCGAGGAGAACUCAGACACCGAAGCACCACCAUGCCCCUCAUACACCAGGUGAACCAACCUCAGGAAGGCUUGAAGGAAAGCUAUAGUCUGGAACAAAUAGAUAAAGAGAACUCACUGGGGUCACACUGGGGCUAUGAAUUUAAUGUGAGCUCGAGGCUGAGAUUGCCUAAAAUAGCCUUAAAAGUAAUGGGGGGAAAAUGAUAAGUAGGGGAAGUUACUUUGCAUUGCAGCCUGCUCAGAAUUCACAUGAAUGGGAAAGUAGAUGUUAGCACCACAUAGCAAGCAGAAGAGAAAAUGUAAACUUCAAACAAAGCCAUUCAUCAACAAUAAGUAAUGAUUUGAAAAAAAAUGUAACAAGUGAAGGUUGGAAGACAUAAUAGUUAUUGCAUCAUAAUUAAUUGUCCAAAAAAGUAAAGAAUUUGAUUAAAGAUCCAAGACUUUUUAUCCUAAUGAGCACAUGUUCAUACAGCGAUAACAGCACAGAGAUAAAGACACACAUAAUAUGCUUGAAGCAGGAAGUACCUCUCACUACUUCCUUUUAUCAAGGAAUCUACAAUCAGGGGUUACAAAGAGCUGCCAAUUGUCUUCCUGCCUGUCAGCCUU